AGGGAAGCCACUUUUAUUUUUAUUUUUUCCACAUAGAUAAUUUCAUGUCAGCUACAAAAAUCAUGAAAUGAAGAACUAAUCGUGAAACUGCAAACUCAAAAACCACUGGAUUGAUAAACAGGAUCUCCCCAACGGACUGUUAAAAAAAUAACCAGAAUACCAUGAAUUCAUAUUUAAGUAGUAAACAUGUCGCAUUAAAGAGGACACAGAGGCAUAGGUUAGUGUGUGCUGCU
rnacentral:lncRNA from 1 species